GACGAACGCUGGCGGCGUGCCUAACACAUGCAAGUCGAACGGAAAGGCCCGGCUUUUGUUGGGUGCUCGAUUGGCGAACGCGUGAGUAACACGUGAGUAACCCGCCCUUGACUUUGUGAUAACUUUAGGAAACUGGGGCUAUUACCGCGUAGGAGCUUCUGCUGCGUGUGGGUGGUUGGAAAGUGUCGGCGGUGGGGGAUGGACUCGCUGCUUAUCAGCUGGUUUGUGUGGUAGUGGCUUACCAAGGCUUUGACGGGUAGCCGGCCUGGGAGGGUGACCGGGGACAAUGGGCCUGAGAUACGGACCAGAAGGGUACGGGAGGCAGUAGGGGGGAGCAUUGCAGAGUGGGCGGAAGCCUGAUACAGAAGUGCCGGGUGCGGGAUGCUGGCCUUCGAGGUGUAAACAGAUUUCGACUGAGACGAGGCGAGCGUGACGGUAAUGGGUAAAGAAGCAACGGCUAACUACGUG
rnacentral:rRNA from 1 species